UGUUAGUGCACACAAAGUAAACUGCACGCUUUAGUUGUGAAGCAAAAACGCUGAACCCGGAGAAAUAAAACGUGCGAGGGGGACGAUAACGACGACAAGAGUCUCCCGAUCGUUUACUCUUGCUGUCCUGUGAACAACACCGGCGUGGUGUUAAUUGUUUGCUGUUUUCGCGAUCGCGUCGCGCAUGAGGAUAUCACCAGCAGCUCCUGAAACACAAGACUGCCACACAUCUGUUCGACCAACGCCAGUUGAUCUAAACGCCAGUUGAUCUGGAACACCGGGCGACCCAGUUGUCUUCACCGUUCCCAGUGUGGUGAAUUUUGUAGCUCUUUUUUUUGUGUGUGAAAUUAUUUUUUUUAACCAUUUGACUUGAAUUUGAUUUAAGUAGAUGUAUAUUCUUUGUGAUAUGAACACAUGGGAAACAAAUGAUCAUUUAGCCAUUUAUUUUUAGCUCAAAAUGACAACAUUAACACAAUAAAACAGGUCUCUUUCUUAAACAGAAGCCUGUCAUGCUUAACUUUUGAGAAUAUAAGUAAAUCUUUCUUUAAAAGAACUCUGUCCUGCUUAACUUAAAAUUAUAUAAAUUAAUAGAAAACAAUAGAACGAAAAACAUUCUUGUAACAGUGCACAUAUAGUGCUUUUAGUGCAAUUGGCUUCAGUUGAGGUAUUAUUUCAGCUUUUCUAAUGCUAAUCAGCUGCUGCCGUUUGUAAACCCACUUGUUCCCAUGAUUACGCAUCAUAACUCAUCAUCAUUAUUCAUCUAUGUAUUACUUUUAUGUAUUAGUCAUCUAUUUGUUGUAAUCAUCUAUCCCUGCAGUUGUUUAUUACACAAAAUAAAUUAUAUUAUCACACUUCUGGCCACAUAGCGCUGAUAUUCACUGCACAUGCCCAUAUUAACCUUAACCAGAGGGUUUAAAAAAAACAAACCAGUGUUUACAUACCAUAUCUGCUUCUGCCGUGGCCUGGUGGACAAAAAAUUGGUUAAGGGUUCCCCGAACUUUCACGCCCCUCAUGUUCUUCAUGUGCCCACCAUUAGAAGCAUGCCUAUGGAAAAAGUGCGCCGGCACACAGUGCAGUGCGCUUUAUAGGUGUUAUCGUGCAUUUUUCCAGCCAGGUGUUUUCCUUUUCCCAUUCCUCCCAGUACUUUUGCAGCCUUUUUUUUCUUUCUCUGAGGGGAACAAACAUU
ensembl:lncRNA